GGCGUGGGAUUCGUUAUAUAAAGUUCAAGGUUCAUAAUGUUUUGUUAUGACUUUGUCGCAGUUUGAGCCUCGUGCAUUCAGGAAUCACAAUGGGAACAACACUGUUACUGUUACUGAUAACUCUGGCAAUCGGCCAGACAUUGUCCAAUAACCCUGGGGUCAAGAUGAGAGUGACACCAAACGGAAUUGAUUACGCUGAGAAAGUUGCUAAAAAAAACUAACCGAAGCCAUUAACACCAUUCGUUUGGACAACAUGCAAGGAAAAGAUGGACAAUUUGAGUACUGGUU
rnacentral:sRNA from 1 species